CUGGGUCUUCUUUAAAAGGAGACCUAGGCGAUUCAUUUUGUGGGGAGAAGAGCUGAGAGAGAGAGGGGGCGAAAUAAGAGGGAGAACGAGAAGAGAGUUCAGAGGAGGAAGAGAUCGUCGUCACCUUUGCUCCACAGUGACGACGAAUCGGACGUAAUUCGCUGCCAUGGACGAUUACCAGAAGUAUUCCGGCACAUCCUUGCCCUUCCUGUGAACCCUGUCCCAGAAACUCUCACCAGUACCAGUCGUUACUAACAGUAUCAGUCGAACUCAGGCCGAAAUACCCAUUCGGAUCGAAGCAAUUCCAUCUGAUAAUUCCUUUUCCUCUCAUUGUUUUAAUGCUCGACUGACACCAUCCUCUGCUCAAAUGCGAUACUCAACCGUUUACAUUAUCUGUGCUACCACUUUUAUAUGGCGUUCCUUAGGCUGAAUCGGGAUCUGGGGCGAACUGAUAAUUCCAGAACUGUGUUUUAUUUUACUUUAUUUUCUUUCAUUUCAUGACCCUUGGUAUGUAGCUUAUCCUAGUCUUUCUUCCUUGAUGACUUCGUAUAAUUCAGUAUUUGUCAAGAGGAGUCUCAAUGCUAUUUUGUGAUUCACUGAACGCUGUAUCGGCCAUGCUUGGGAAGAACGCCAUUCCCAUGUCUUUGUUUCAUCGAUUGCUAAUCUCUAGUUUGCUUCGUA